rnacentral:rRNA from 1 species
GAUGAACGCUGGCGGCGUGCCUAAUACAUGCAAGUCGAGCGAACGGACGAGAAGCUUGCUUUUCUGAUGUUAUCGGCGGACGGGUGAGUAACACGUGGAUAACCUACCUAUAAGACUGGGAUAACUUCGGGAAACCGUAGCUAAUACCGGAUAAUAUUUUGAACCUCGUUGUUCAAAAGUUAAAGACGGUCUUUCUGUCACUUAUAGAUUGAUCCGCGCUGCAUUAGCUAGUUGGUAAGGUAACGGCUUACCAAGGCAACGAGGCAUAGCCGACCUGAGAGGGUGGAUGGACAGACGGGAUGUGAGAAACGUCCGCGACUCUGGCGGGAGGCAACAGUAGGGAAUCUUACGCGAGGGGCGAAAGGCUGACGGAGGACCGCCGCGUGAGGGAUGAAGGUCUUAGGCUGGUAAAGCGCUGUUAUUCGGGAAGAAGAUAUGUGUAAGUACCUGGGCAGAUAUUGACGGUACCUAAUGAGAAAGCCACGGCUAACUACGUG